rnacentral:misc_RNA from 1 species
GUAUGUAUAUAUAAUAUUUCCAACCAAAUCAAUGGCAUGUAAUAAUAUCAGGCAAGCGCUUUUUUUUAUCCCCCCGGAAACCAUUGUUAGUUGCGAUCGUUUGUUUGAAGAAGCAGAGGAAAGCCAGCAAAACCCCAAAGGGUCUUCCUGGAUCCCCCCCACCACUUAUAGAAAGUGUUUUCUAUGAUGAUCCCUCCGCAGGUUCACCUACGGAGA